rnacentral:rRNA from 1 species
GCCUCAGUAACUGCGAGUGAAGCGGCAAAAGCUCAAAUUUGAAAUCUGGCUCCUUCGGGGUCCGAGUUGUAAUUUGGAGGGGCAUCUUCGGGAUCGGCGCCGUCCUAAGUUCCUUGGAACAGGACGUCACAGAGGGUGAGAAUCCCGUGCCUGGGCGGCUGCCCGAUUCCAUGUGAAGUGCCUCCGACNAGUCGAGUUGUUUGGGAAUGCAGCUCAAAAUGGGUGGUAAAUUUCAUCUAAAGCUAAAUAUUGGCGAGAGACCGAUAGCGCACAAGUAGAGUGAUCGAAAGAUGAAAAGCACUUUGAAAAGAGAGUUAAAAAGUACGUGAAAUUGUUGAAAGGGAAGCGCUUGCGACCAGACUCGAUCUUUGGGGGUCAUCCAGGUUUCGGCCUGGUGCCAUCCCCAUUGAUCGGGCCAGCAUCGGUUUCGGCGGCGGGAUAAAAGGCGAGGGAAUGUGGCUCUCUUCGGGGAGUGUUAUAGCCCUUGCCACAAUGCCGCCAGCUGGGACCGAGGACCGCGCUUCGGCUAGGAUGCUGGCGUAAUGGUCUUAAGCGACCCGUCUUGAAACACGGACCAAGGAGUCUAACAUCUAUGCGAGUGUUCGGGUGGAAAACCCUUGCGCGUAAUGAAAGUGAACGGAGGUGGGAACCCCUCACGGGGUGCACCAUCGACCGGUCCUGAUGUCUUCGGAAGGAUCUGAGUAGA